ACUUGCUGCGGGCAGGGACCGCGUCUGUUAUAUCGUCAUACCGAACUCUCCCAAGAGCGCUCGGGAAGCGAUCGAUAGAUAUGACCGACUGACUCUAAGUUGUCACCGAUCCAUUGAGAAAAGGAAUCUCAGCCACCGGUUGGAAUUCUGACGUCACGCAGGAGCAGAUCGCCGCUGGGAAUUCAGACCGGUUCCAGGUAUUGGUUUGUCUCUGCUUUCACCCCCUUGGAAUAUUCCGUCUCUAUUCCCAGGAGGCCCGAGGAAUGUAAUCUUAGAUGCAGACUCAUCUCCAUCAGGCCGUCGAGUCGCUUCCCACCCAUAGCGCCGCCGUGGCCACAUCUCUGCCAGAACGGCCCGCUCUCCACCUGCAGUCGUUCUGGUAGUGGAUCCAGAGAGUUUUCUUGGUCAAAAUCCGAAAGCGGUUUACCGCUGCACAGUAAACCCGAGUCUCCGUCCUCGACUCUCUCCCGCGACGCGGCUGCCCGGCGCAGGUGCGUUUUGACUUGCAGCCGAUGGCCUUCCGCUAGCCGCCGCCCAAACUGGGAACGGAAUGGACGGGCCUCUGCUGGACUCUCCCUCCCGUA